GGACAACCUACCCUGAGGAGGGGGAUAACCCCGGAAAACUGGGGAUAAUACCCCAUAGACUAGGGACGCUGGAAUGCCCCUUAGUCCAAAGGUCCGCCGCCUCAGGAUGGGUCUGCGGCCGAUUAGGUAGUUGUUGGGGUAACGGCCCAACAAGCCUUUGAUCGGUACGGGUUGUGGGAGCAAGAGCCCGGAGAUGGAUUCUGAGACACGAAUCCAGGCCCUACGGGGCGCAGCAGGCGCGAAAACUUUACAAUGCGAGAAAUCGUGAUAAGGGAACCCCGAGUGCCCGUAAAUUCGGGCUGUCCAUCAGUGUAAAAAACUGGUGAAGAAAGGGCCGGGCAAGACCGGUGCCAGCCGCCGCGGUAAUACCGGCGGCUCGAGUGGUGGCCACUAUUACUGGGCUUAAAGCGUCCGUAGCUUGGUUGUUAAGUCUCCUGGGAAAUCCAUCGGCUCAACCGAUGGGCGUUCAGGGGAUACUGGCAAUCUAGGGACCGGGAGAGGUGAGAGGUACUCCAGGGGUAGGAGUGAAAUCCUGUAAUCCUUGGGGGACCACCUGUGGCGAAGGCGUCUCACUAGAACGGCUCCGACAGUGAGGGACGAAAGCUGGGGGAGCAAACCGGAUUAGAUACCCGGGUAGUCCCAGCCGUAAACGAUGCGCGUUAGGUGUAUCGGUGACCACGAGUCACCGAGGUGCCGAAGGGAAACCGUGAAACGUGCCGCCUGGGAAGUACGGUCGCAAGGCUGAAACUUAA
rnacentral:rRNA from 1 species